rnacentral:rRNA from 1 species
UACGUAGGUGGCAAGCGUUGUCCGGAAUUAUUGGGCGUAAGCGCGCGCAGGUGGUUUCUUAAGUCUGAUGUGAAAGCCCACGGCUCAACCGUGGAGGGUCAUUGGAAACUGGGGAACUUGAGUGCAGGAGAGAAGAGUGGAAUUCCACGUGUAGCGGUGAAAUGCGUAGAGAUGUGGAGGAACACCAGUGGCGAAGGCGACUCUUUGGCCUGUAACUGACACUGAGGCGCGAAAGCGUGGGGAGCAACAGG